rnacentral:snRNA from 8 species
AUACUUACCUGGCAAGGGAGAUACCGUGAUCAAGAAGGCGGUUCACCCAGGGCGAGGCUCAGCCAUUGCACUCCGGCUGUGCUGACCCCUGCGAAUUUCCCAAAUGUGGAAAUCUCGAUUGCGUAAUUUAUGGUAGUGGGGGACUGCGUUCGCGCUCUCCCCUG